rnacentral:rRNA from 1 species
GACAGAGGGGGCAAGCGUUGCUCGGAAUCACUGGGCGUAAAGGGUGCGCAGGCGGCCGUGUAAGUCUGGCGUGAAAGCCCCGGGCUCAGCCCGGGAAGUGCGCUCGAAACUGCGCGGCUCGAGUGCCGGAGGGGAGAGUGGAAUUCCUGGUGUAGCGGUGAAAUGCGUAGAUAUCAGGAGGAAUACCGGUGGCGAAAGCGACUCUCUGGACGGCAACUGACGCUGAGGCACGAAAGCGUGGGGAGCAAACAGG